CUAAUAGUUGAUUAUUAUAUAUUUAAUGAUGGAUUAGCGACCCUUAAUGUAAAGUGUUACCGAUAAGUGUUCACAUACUUUUUCUCACAACUGUAAACAGCAAAGCUGUGGUAAGUUAAUGUGAUCUACAGAGUUCUGCACUUCUACUGCAUACUUUACCCAAAUAUAAGGACACGCAUACACUAUGCUAUUUCUAUCUCUAGGACUCAUGAAUGAAAAAAAAAUAUAUUAUUUAUUAUUUCUCCUGUCAGAUAACUUGACCUACAUUGAUGAUCCAAAAACCUGGAUUGAAGCACUAAAAUACUGUCGGGAUCGUCGCAAGACUUUAGUGCACAUCAUAAACUCUACUGUGCAGGAAUUCGUCAUACAGAUGCUGCAGAAUGAUAUCUAUCCAAAUGGCGUGUGGAUUGGGCUUGAGAGGAACAUGCUCUUCCCAUGUGCCCCAUGGAUGUGGACUGGUGGACCCUACGUGAACUAUUCUGAAUGGCAUUCUAGCUUUCCAGUGGACCCCACCAGCCAAUACUGUGGCAAACUGGUUAACAAUGGAAGCAAAUGGCUGGAUUCUUAUUGCAGUGAGGAGCUCCCUUUCAUCUGUCAGGAUUAGACCACUAGGAGGAGCUACUUCACAG